rnacentral:rRNA from 1 species
GGCGGGCUGCUUACACAUGCAGUCGAACGAUGAAGCCCAGCUUGCUGGGUGGAUUAGUGGCGAACGGGUGAGUAACACGUGAGUAACCUGCCCUUGACUCUGGGAUAAGCCUGGGAAACUGGGUCUAAUACUGGAUAUGACUUCUCACCGCAUGGUGGGGGGUGGAAAGAUUUAUUGGUCUUGGAUGGACUCGCGGCCUAUCAGCUUGUUGGUGAGGUAAUGGCUCACCAAGGCGACGACGGGUAGCCGGCCUGAGAGGGUGACCGGCCACACUGGGACUGAGACACGGCCCAGACUCCUACGGGAGGCAGCAGUGGGGAAUAUUGCACAAUGGGCGCAAGCCUGAUGCAGCGACGCCGCGUGAGGGAUGACGGCCUUCGGGUUGUAAACCUCUUUCAGUAGGGAAGAAGCGAAAGUGACGGUACCUGCAGAAGAAGCGCCGGCUAACUACGUGCCAGCAGCCGCGGUAAUACGUAGGGCGCGAGCGUUAUCCGGAAUUAUUGGGCGUAAAGAGCUCGUAGGCGGUUUGUCGCGUCUGCCGUGAAAGUCCGGGGCUUAACCCCGGAUCUGCGGUGGGUACGGGCAGACUAGAGUGCAGUAGGGGAGACUGGAAUUCCUGGUGUAGCGGUGAAAUGCGCAGAUAUCAGGAGGAACACCGAUGGCGAAGGCAGGUCUCUGGGCUGUAACUGACGCUGAGGAGCGAAAGCAUGGGGAGCGAACAGGAUUAGAUACCCUGGUAGUCCAUGCCGUAAACGUUGGGCACUAGGUGUGGGGGACAUUCCACGUUUUCCGCGCCGUAGCUAACGCAUUAAGUGCCCCGCCUGGGGAGUACGGCCGCAAGGCUAAAACUCAAAGGAAUUGACGGGGGCCCGCACAAGCGGCGGAGCAUGCGGAUUAAUUCGAUGCAACGCGAAGAACCUUACCAAGGCUUGACAUGUUCCUGACCGCCGUAGAGAUACGGUUUCCCCUUUGGGGCAGGUUCACAGGUGGUGCAUGGUUGUCGUCAGCUCGUGUCGUGAGAUGUUGGGUUAAGUCCCGCAA